AUGCUUGUCCCCAGUUGCCCCACUGGGGAACCCCGCUCCCGGCACUGGGGCUUCUGUAGGGCUCGGCUUUGUCCCUGCUGUGCCCCCCUCCCCCCCAGCACUGGGGGGGUUCCCAGGGGGCCUGGCUCCAUCCCUGCUGGAGCCCGUCUGCCCUCUCCACGCAGAGGACUUCAGGCAGCACCCACAAAGCUUCCUGCACCUUGCGCAUCACCCGCGGACACCCGGCGGUGCCAGGAGCCUUCUCCGGGACUCAACCACGUCCCCUCCCUGUCCCCAUCACCUCUGGCUUUCCCGAUGGCCUUGGGGCUCCACCGGGAUGGUGGCAGCUGGCCCGGCAGGGGACCGAGGCGGUGGCUGGCUGGGGACGGUGCCCAUUGUGCAGAGCCAGCAAGGCGUGGUUGUGCAGCCAAGCGAGCAGACGUGCGGGGCGCUGGGCUCGGCAGACCCCAGCACCAGGCCCAGGAGCUGCCUCUGAUCCCAGGCUGUGGCAGAGCUGGGGCUGGUUUUGGAGGUGUAAUGGGGCUGGACAGGCUGUGCCCUGCUGGCUCUUCCACGGAGGGAUGCUCGCUGCGCUGCUCCCUGGACCAAGCUCCCUGGUGUCAGCUCCAGCAGCCCAAAAGUCACAGUGUGCAGCAGAGCUGAGGCUCACGUGAGGUUUUCUGCCUGUCCUUAAGCGUUUACAGACACCAGCUUGCGGUGUGCCUCAGUUUCCCCAUCUCUGUGGCAGGCAGAGGUGUGCUGCCAGCCCUCGGGGCCCCUUGAGAGCACGAACAGCGUUGGAGCCAUGCACCAGGAUCCAGGACCCCGGUGUCCUCCUCAUGCUGCCCACCACAAGGCCACCCACUGCCUGACUCAGUUUCCCUUCUUCUGGGAGGAAGAUGCUCUCCUCGACGUGCCGGUAUUCCCUGCCGCUAUUCCUGCUCGGCAUCGCCGGUGGGAAGCCAGCUCCGGUCGGCGUGCAGAGGGUUGCAUCCACACCCCUUUUGGAACCACAUGAGAGCUAUCUCGGUGAUCGAUCUGGAUUCGCAGAUGCUUUGCACCAGUGGUGGAAAGAGCACGGUGCAGUGGUGUAAAGGCACGGCCGGUGGUGUAAAGGCAGGGCUGUACAGGCAUUUAACAACCAGGUGGAGCAGUUCAGGAGCUGGCCGGGCUGCUCCCGGUGACCCCAUGGGGUUUGGGUUCUGGGUUUGGGUGGGCGCCCUCCAACCUGCCCCAGGGCAAAGCAGCCCCGGGCUGGUUCAAAUCCUCCUUGGCAGGGAUGAGGGGAGUGGAGCUGCCAGGCUGUGUCCCUCGGGAAGAGCUGCCUGCUGCCAGCAAAUGUCCUCUCUGGCUCUUGGAAGCUCGUGGUCUCGGGGACGGAGUGGAUGAGGUGAAGGUCGGUGCCCCGGUGCAUGGUUUUGACUGGGAAGAGGAGUGGGUUUGCCUCUCGGGCUUCUCCCUGGAGCUGUNUGCAGAGGGUUGCAUCCACACCCCUUUUGGAACCACAUGAGAGCUAUCUCGGUGAUCGAUCUGGAUUCGCAGAUGCUUUGCACCAGUGGUGGAAAGAGCACGGUGCAGUGGUGUAAAGGCACGGCCGGUGGUGUAAAGGCAGGGCUGUACAGGCAUUUAACAACCAGGUGGAGCAGUUCAGGAGCUGGCCGGGCUGCUCCCGGUGACCCCAUGGGGUUUGGGUUCUGGGUUUGGGUGGGCGCCCUCCAACCUGCCCCAGGGCAAAGCAGCCCCGGGCUGGUUCAAAUCCUCCUUGGCAGGGAUGAGGGGAGUGGAGCUGCCAGGCUGUGUCCCUCGGGAAGAGCUGCCUGCUGCCAGCAAAUGUCCUCUCUGGCUCUUGGAAGCUCGUGGUCUCGGGGACGGAGUGGAUGAGGUGAAGGUCGGUGCCCCGGUGCAUGGUUUUGACUGGGAAGAGGAGUGGGUUUGCCUCUCGGGCUUCUCCCUGGAGCUGUUUAAGGCGAGAAAGGUUUCUCGUGGAGGAGCUCUUGGGUCUUUCUGGGGGCAAGCAGUAGUUGAGGUUGGAGAUCUGCGGACUCAAAGGCAGGGGAGAUGGCGGCAGCUUCUUUCUGACCGCCCGCAGGAUGUGCGCCCCGCAGCCCCAGCCGAGCUCUCUCUGCUUUGAAGCCCGAGCUGUGCUUCAGCAGCAUCCCGAGAAGCCUUCCAGUCUGGACUUGAAGAUGUCAAGAGAUGGCAAAUCCUCUCCUCCCCUGGGGAGUUUGUUCUAAUGGUUAAUCACCUCGCUAUUAAAAAUGUGAGUUUUCCUCCACAUUUGCCUGUGUCUGGCUCUUGCUCCCAGCCCUCGGCGGUUGCUCUGCUGGCUCGCAGAGGCCGGGUAAGGUGAAGCCGCUUCUCCUCCCGCAGACGAGGCAACCAUUUCCAGCUCCACCUGAGCCCCCGUGCUGCCGAACCGGCUCCUCGCUCUGCCAGGCAAACUCUUCUUUUUGAACACCACCAACGAUAAAAAAAAAAAUAAAAAAAAAUCCCUUUCUUCCCCGCCGGAGCGGCCAAGCCCCUCGCUCCUCCAGCUGCCGUGAGAAACGCCGCGCUGCUUUGUACUUGGAGCCGGGCACCACGGCAGCUGCCUCCGCCUUCUCCGGGGACAUCGCGAGGCGCCAGGGAAAGCUGGAAGAGUCCCCAGGGUGCUCAGGCUGCCCGGGGGCCGUGGAGGUGCUGGGGGUGCCGGGCUUGGUGCCGCGCCCCUGGGGAAGCCGCUGCUUGGGGCAGGAGGAAGAGGAGCUCCGCCGCGAGCCCGUAGCCUCUGCUUGUGAUCGAAGGGCCUGGGCCGUUCCCGUGGCUAAUUGCCCGCUCCCGUUAGAAAUGCCUGCCUGGAUUUUGUCCUGGUUCGUUGAGGGGUGGUCCUGUGAGGGGUUUUUGGGGCAUUGCUGAACCCGCGGGGCUGUUGGAGGGCUGCGGUCCCUCAGGUCACGGGGAUGCGCCGAAAUCCCCUCCUGAUUUUGGCUGAGUUUUGAGAGACUGAGUCUGGAGGGGGCCAGGACCCCGAGGGGAUGCUGGAGGGGGCUCUGUCCCUUCUGUAGGGUCACGGUGAGGGGCAGCAGGGAGGUGGCAGCCGGCUGCAUGAUACCGGAGAGUGGGGCUGGGGGCACGACGGGGGCGCAGAGGGCGAGGGGGCCGCGCCGUUCCCUCUGCUGGGGCGUUCUGCAGCGCGAUGCCACCAGAGCUGCCUGAUGCCACCACGGCUCUGCAGGGGCUCUCGGCACCAGUGACACCCUCGGUGAGCCCCGUCCCUCACUGGUGGCCGGGCAGUGACAUGGGGACAAGGACAUCGGCUCGUGGUGGACGCGUGCUGGGGCGCAGGAUGCUCGUGGUCCUCUUCGCCGUGACAAUCCGGGGGGCGAUGCGUCCCCAGGGGAGGGGACACCGCUCCUCCUGGCUGCUUCUGGGGCCAGAGAUGCUUCUCUGCUCAUCCCCCUUCCCUUUUUUUUCCCCCCCAGCUCGGAGCCUCGGCGCGGACGCCUGACCCGUGAGCGGCCCCCAUGCCGCGGCGGCCGCCAGCUGGAUGCCGUCCCCGCCGCCCGCUGAGGAUGCCCCGAGCGCCCCGGUGAGCGCCGGCACGGGGGACAGCGCCCGGCUCCAACCCCAGCGCCCCACCGGUGAGUCCCCGAGCUGUCCCCUGAGAUCCCUGGGGACCGAGCUGUCCCCUCCUCGAGCCCCUUCGUGGCGCUAAUGAAUAGGGUCGGGGGGAACAGCCCAGCCCUGGCCCCCCUGCGCCGAGCCGCCGGCCCUCGCAUUGUUCCUGCCAGAAACCCGAUGCCGGCCUCCCAACAAAGCCCAGAAGAAGCAGGGGGGGUGGAGGGGGGGCUGCUGGUAAGGGGGCCGGGGGGGUCCCUUUCUCCCUGCCCCUUCCCCCAUCGCUCGCUGGGGACGCCGGGACGAGCUCCCGGCCCCGUUGCCAUCUCCUAGACAACCGGCGUGGGGGGGCUUUUGUCUCCAUAGUGAUAAAUGUGCGAGCAUCCAGCAUCUGGGACAAAAGGGUGUCCCCCCCC
ensembl:lncRNA